GGGGGAAUUACCAUUAGCAGUUGAAGUGGUAGGAAAUUUUUACAUAGGAGAGUAUGGUGAUCAUAUUUGCAUUUUAGAAAAUAAUGGAUAGCAGUUUGUUAGGGGAACAAAGGACAGAGACAGGGAGACUAUUUAAAACAUUAAUAAAAAAUACCAGUGACAGAUGAUGAGGCACCUACCUGAUGGGAAUGGAGAAGAGGAGAUGGAUUCAGAAACUACUUAGGAGAGGCAGGCAGUCCAAGGCUGAUGCCCAAAGAAGCCAUCAAGACCCGUGCUACUUCCAGCUCCUUCUGUCCUCAUAAUCAUAGAUGAUUGCUCCACAUCCAGCACCUAACACCAGUACUCAGUUAAAUUUUUUGCUGAAUAAAUCAAUGAAUGGAGAGGUAAAGAGGAACCAGAAGUUGGGGUUACAGAAGUCACUGAUGGAAGAGUUUCAAGAUAGUAGAAGUGGUCAGCCCUGUUAAGUGACAAGCCAAGGACUGAAGAAAGACUGGCAGAUUUGGCAAUCAGAUGAAGUGACCUGACCAAAGAGCAGCUUGUGUGAAGUAGUGAGGACAGGCGCUGGUCUGCGACUGGUUUAGGAGGAAAUGGAAAUGAAGAAGAAGAGAUAGGAAAGUGGAGAUUAUAUGAUGACAAGUAUCAAGAUAAAAAUGAACACAUUUGGCCUGCUACCUGAAUUUUUUAAAUCGGCUCACCAAAAAAUAUCAGGCUUAUUGAAAUAUUGGAAUAUCUGAUGAAGUUUCCUCUUAUCUUUGAGCUGUUUGGGUUUGGGUAAAAUUUCAAUGCUUAAAAUUCACGUCUACAACUAGCAGGCAGAACCUUAAAGUCCAGAACCAUUAAAGGGUUUAAUAAUGGUGAGGCAUAUGAUGAUGCUGAUGAUGAUAAUGUUUCUUUCUUUCUUUUGUGAUCUUAAUCACUGUGUGAUCUUAACUAGUUUGAAAUGAGAAUUUCAAUGGAGACAGUAGUGUAAAUUUACCAACAGAACAAUUACAGUCGUGACAAAACAAAAACUAUACAAGCAUAUUUUUGUUCAUUCUAUAAAUUUGUACUGAGUACUUUAUAUACACUAGGCAUUCUGACAGAUAUAAUUAUGUGGGUAUAAAAUUUAGUUUAUUUGAUAGUUGCUUUCCCCACCGCCUCCAGAAAUUCUUGAUUUAGUUGGUAAAGAAAAUCAGUUAAGCAAAUAAGUUCACUAUUUGUAGAAGUGUAGAUGGGUUAUGGUGGGGGCACAAAAUAAUAAAAUAAUGUAUUUAAAACUAUUUUCACAUCUGUGAAAAGCUCUAUACAUCUGUGGCAUUAAGACUAAAGAGAAUGGUAUCAAGUCAUAGCUGCUUUCUAGAAAACAUGCAUGAGACAUUUAGGACCUCUGCAUAUUACCACUGAGUUGUUUUUCUUUUAAGGGGCUACAAAGGAGUAUGUUCAGCAUGAUCUUAUUUUUAUUAAAAUUAUACUUUCUAUACAGAAAAAGACUAUAAAAAUACACACUUAAAACAUUAGCAGUGACCCACAGCUAGUAUCAUACUGAAUGGGGAAUAACUAAAAGCCUUUUCUCCAUGAUCUAGAACACAACAAAAAUGCCCAUUUUUACCACUAUUAUUCAACUUAGUACUGGAAGUUCUAGCUAGGGCAAUCAGACACGAGAAUGAAAUAAAAUGCAUCCAAAUUUGAAAGGAAGAAGUGAAAUUAUCCUUGUUUGCAGAUGAUAUGAUCUUAUAUUUGGAAAAAUCUAACAAUUGCACACACACAAAAAUAUCUAUUAGAACUGAUCACUGGGCAUGGUGGCUAACGCCUGUAAUCCCAGCACUUUGGGAGGCCCAGGUGGGUGGAUCACGAGGUCAAGAGGUGGAGACCAUCCUGGCCAACAUGGUGAAACCCUGUCUCUACUAAAAAUACAAAAAUUAGCUGGGGGUGGUGGAGCGUGCCUGUAGUCCCAGCUACUCGGGAGGCUGAGGCAGGAGAAUCGCUUGAACCUAGGAGGCAGACGUUGCAAUGAGCCAAGAUCGCACCACUGCACUCCAGCCUGGCGACAGAGCAAGACUCCAUCUCAAAAAAAAAAAAAAAAAAAAAAAAAAAACAAGAACUGAUCAACAAAUUUAGUAAAGUUGCAGGAUACAAAAUCUACACAGAACCAGAAGUGGUGGCUCAUGCCUGUAAUCCCAGCACUUUGGGAGGCCAAGGUGGGUAGAUCACUUGGGCUCAGGAAUUCAAGACCAGUCUGAGCAACAUGACGAAACACCAUCUCAAAAAAAGUGCAAAAAAUUAGCCAGGCAUUGUGGCACACACCCAGCUACUAGGGAGGCUGGCAGAUGGCAGGAUGCCUUGAGCCCAGGAAGCAGAGGUUCCAGUGAGUCAAGAUCACACUGCUUUCUAGCCUGGGCAACAGAGCCAGGUCUGUCUCAAAAAAAAAAAAAAAAAAAAAAAAAAAAAAAAAAAACUCAACACACAAAAAUCAGUAGCAUUUCUAUAUGCCAACAGUGAGCAAUCUGAAAAAGAAAUUUUACAAAGUAAUCCCAUUUACAAUAGCCAC
rnacentral:lncRNA from 10 species